GCCUGGUGGGCUCAGUUGGUAGAGUGUGUGACUCUUGAUCUCAUGGUUGUGAAUUCAAGCCCCACAUUGAGUG
rnacentral:tRNA from 1 species